GUGCUUGCUUCACCAGCACAUAUACUAAAAUUGGAACAAUACAGAAGUUCACUUCACCAGCACAUAUACUAAAAUUGGAACAAUACAGAAGAUUAGCAUGACCCCUUUUAUAAGUUUAAAAAAAAAGAAAGAGAAAUGAAAGCCUCCCUC
rnacentral:snRNA from 1 species